rnacentral:rRNA from 1 species
UAAUACAGAGGGUGCGAGCGUUAAUCGGAAUUACUGGGUGUAAAGGGCGCGUAGGCGGUAAGAUGUGUGUGGUGUGAAAGCCCCGGGCUUAACCUGGGAAGUGCAUCGCAAACUAUCUAACUAGAGUAUAUGAGAGGGUGGCGGAAUUUCCGGUGUAGCGGUGAAAUGCGUAGAGAUCGGAAGGAACGUCAAUGGCGAAGGCAGCCACCUGGCAUAAUACUGACGCUGAGGCGCGAAAGCGUGGGGAGCGAACAGGAUUAGAUACCCUGGUAGUCCACGCUGUAAACGAUGAGUACUAAAGGUUGGUAGGGGAACCUAUCAGUCUUGAAGCUAACGCGAUAAGUAUUCCACCUGGGAAGUACGGCCGCAAGGUUG